UCACUUGGCCUCCUGAUCAAAGCCUGAUCUCAUCUGAUCUCUGAAGAUGAGCAGGGGCCUGGUCAGUACUUGGAUGGAAAACCACUGGAAAUACCAGGUGCCACAGUGGA
rnacentral:rRNA from 1 species